UACGUAGGGCGCAAGCGUUGUCCGGAAUUAUUGGGCGUAAAGAGCGCGUAGGCGGCCAGAUAAGUCCGGUGUGAAAGCCACAGGCUCAACCUGUGAAUGCCGCUGGAAACUGUCUGGCUAGAGUCCGGGAGGGGCGAGUGGAAUUCCUGGUGUAGCGGUGAAAUGCGCAGAUAUCAGGAGGAACACCAAUGGCGAAGGCAGCUCGCUGGAACGGAACUGACGCUGAGGCGCGAAAGCGUGGGGAGCGAACAGG
rnacentral:rRNA from 1 species